ACAAAAUAUCGCAUAGCCUGAGGGACUUAAGUUUGAGGCUCAAUUUCAAUAACCUAAGUAAACUUUGCGGAAUUGUUGUCAGUGUAAACCGGUAAGGGACAUGCUAGACUAGUCUUUUUUCAUAUGUUAUGUUGCUACAAUGUCCCAAGUGCAAUAAUGAAAUAUUGUUGCCAAGCCGGGUACUUUCACAAUAUUUAGGAUAGGUUCUUAUAUAAAUAAGAUGUAGGCUUUUAUUUCACGCAGUUAUAGAAGCACUACUGAUACCGCACUAAUCCAUAUUGUUGACGGUUUUGUUUUGUUAAUCGGCGAUAUCAUACGUUUCAGAUGAGUUUACCUGUAUUUCAGGUACAUUUCCGCCUCAUGCGCGUUCUGCCACAGUCAAAACAACUAGGAUCUCCGAGAUCCGAACUCAAGACCAUUGACGUCAUGAUUUGACAUCGUUUUUUCCGGGUUCCCAGUUGUUUUGAAAACACAAUUGAUACAGGAAAAUGACCAGGGAAAAGUUUGAAGAACAACCCAACCUAAACCAAAAGAACACUAACACUCACCUUUUUAAAGAAUGACCAAUAUCUCCAGCAGUAGGUAAAUCCAAGGUAGGAAAUCGGCAGGAUCUUCAAAAUGUAUUUUGUGUUAGUUCUUGAACUGGGAACGGCUGGAGUUUCAGUGAAACCAGAGUGGAAAUUGACGUAGCCUAGUGUCCCAAUUCCAGCAGUCGUUGCGCGUGGUUAAAAUUAUUAGAUGUCGCGUUAUAAAUUAAACCAAAUAACUAAGAGAAUAGCACGUGUAACAAUUUAGCUGUAAUCGUCUUUACGGUUACGGACUCUUUCUUCAAUCAGAAUUCCAGUUUUUGUCACAAGCCCUCCCAUUCACUUGCAGUAUACCGGUUUUAAGAGUCGUGUGUGUUUCUGUUGCAGUUUGAGCAAUGGUCGGCUUCCGCACCUGAAAUAUUGGAUUAGUGAUGUUUUCAGAGCUGCGAGGUCAAACCCCGCCUCUGGAGCACUGUAUUUACUGCAACCGACUGUGCUGUACUCUACUGAGACACGUUUGCAUAGGAAGCAAUCCCAACUGCCUGCGAGUGAAGGGAGGAGUUUCACGGUACUUUUCACCGUCAAUCAAGCAGAAGAUUCCUGCAACAAAAGAGAAUCAUGAAUGGAAAAAGGCAGUUGAAAGGUGUGAAGUUAGAAUGAGUGUUGAGGGGGAGCAGGCGUAGUAUCUGAAAAUACAAAAUACACAAAAAUACAAGAGGCCUCUUGAAGAGGGAAUCAAGAAAUCUUCACAUCCAAAUUGGGGUACACACACACACACACACACACACACAAAAUCAAUGGUUCAUAUUUGUGUAUUUACCAACCAUCCCUCUCUCACACACAAUGUUGACAUAACAAUGUUUUCUAAAGUUAUUGUGAUCAUCUCUCUUUCUUCCUACCUCUCCCUCACACACACAAACACACACACACACACACACACACACACACACACACACACACACACACACACACACACACACACACACACACACACACACACACACACAGAAUACACACACAUACACACAUUUACUGUCAUUAACUAAACCUAUAUCAAAAAGCUAGCUAGCUACAACAAAUGGCUACAACAGCUAAAUAUAUAUACAGUUGAAGUCGGAAGUUUACAUACACCUUAGCCAAAUACAUUUUAACUCUGUUUUCACCAUUCCUGACAUUUGAUCAGAGUACAAAUUCCCUGUCUUAGGUUAGUUAGGAUCACUACUUUAUUUAAAAAAUUUGAAAUGUCAGAAUAAUAGGAGAGAGAAGGAUUUAUUUCAGCUUUUAUUUAUUUCAUCACAUUCCCAGUGGUUCAGAAGUUUACAUACACUCAAUUAGUAUUUGGUAGCAUUGCCUUUACAUUGUUUAACUCUGGUCAAAUGUUUCGGGUAGCCUUCCACAAGCUUCCCACAAUAAGUUGGGUGAAUUUUGGCCCAUUCCUCCUGACAGAGCUGAUAUAACUGAGUCAGGUUUGUAGGCCUCCUUGCUCGCACACGCUUUUUCAGUUCUGCCCACACAUUUUCUAUAGGAUUGAGGUCAGGGCUUUGUGAUGGCCACUCCAAUACAUUGACUUUGUUGUCCUUAAGUUACUUUGCCACAACUUUGGAAGUAUGCUUGGGGUCAUUUGCGACCAAGCUUUAACUUUCUGACUGAUGUCUUGAGAUGUUGCUUCAAUAUAUCCACAUAAUUUUACUUCCUCAUGAUGCCACCUAUUCUGUGAAGUGCACUAGUCCCUCCUGCAGCAAAGCACCCCCACAACAUGAUGCUGCCACCCCCAUGCUUCACGGUUGGGAUGGUGUUCUUUGGCUUGCAAGCCUGACCCUUUCCCUCCAAACAUAACGAUGGUCAUUAUGGCCAAACAGUUCUAUUUUUGUUUCAUCAGACCAGAGGACAUUUCUCCAACAAGUACGAUCUUUGUCCCCAUGUGCAGUUGCAAACUGUAGUCUGGCUUUUUUAUGGCGGUUUUGGAGCAGUGGCUUCUUCCUUGCUGAGCAGCCUUUCAGGUUAUGUCGAUAUAUAGGACUCGUUUUACUGUGGAUAUAGAUACUUUUGUACCUGUUUCCUCCAGCUUCUUCACAAGGUCCUUUUCUGCGGUUCUGGUAUUGCACCAAAGUACGUUCAUCUCUCGGAGACAGAACGUGUCUCCUUCCUGAGCGGUAUGACGGCUGUGUGGUCCCAUGGUGUUUAUACUUGCGUACUAUUGUUUGUGCAGAUGAAUGUGGUACUUUCAGGUGUUUGGAAAUUGCUCCCAUAGAUGAACCAGGCGUGUGGGGGUCUACAUUUUUUUUCUGAGGUCGAGUUUUAAUGACUCCAACCUAAGUGUAUGUAAACUACUGAUUUCAACUGUAUAUAUAUAUGUUUUUCCUUUCGUGAAUUAACUCACACUUUUUCCCACUUACUAGCUCUGACUUUGUUGAUAGCUACUUUAUUGAGGACAAUUGUGACUGUGAUAUGGUGUUGUCCCACCUAGCUAUCGUAAGAUGAAUGCACUAACUGUAAGUCACUCUGGAUAAGAGUGUCUGCUAAAUGACUCAUGUUGUGCCGAGUCUCAAACGGAAUAGGCCUGAGCACACCGUGUUCAGUGGGUACCAUAUGCCUUGAGACCCUUACCCACUUUGGUGCACUCUGCCAGCUGUUGUUUGCCAACUGUGCUAAACUGAGUCAUGCAAACCCUGCUGAAAAAAAACACUCACAUUUUAAUCAUUAUAAUGGUUAUAUAGUGUCUUACAUCCACUGGGUGCAUGGCCCACAAACACUAUGCACAUGUUUUAUGUAGGCUGGUGUCUAUUAAUUGGUGUCAUGAAAAAUACGUCUUAAUCUGGUUGUGAUCUGGUUAUAAGGCGUCUCGACCAAAUUUUAACCAGAAAAAUAUGUCUUCAUCACAUUGUAUGCCCACUGGGAUAUGCCUUUACUAAUGUGGUUUCAAGUCGGUUACCAUACUGGUUUCAGGUGUGGAAAAGAGUCAUAUGCAUUUUUAUAUUAUUUAUACAGACUGAUAGCCUACUGCUUAUAAGCUACACACAGCCUACAGACGCCAGCAAUGUGGCAACUAUUAGGCCUACAACACUGCUUGACGAUUAUGAAGAACUGAAAUCAGUUGUACAACAAUGUGAUAUAGGACUCCUGUUACCCAAACACCAUCUGCCCAAUCCUGUUAUAUAAAGGAAGCAAUGGAAUACAAGCAUUUUUUUUUAGUGCAAGUAUUGUGCAUUCUAUUAUUGUAUUAUAUUCUUUAGUAUAGGUUACUUUGCCACACUUCUGUAUUUUACUAGUAGCCUUUAACAGUGCUUGUUCACAUUAUGCAGAUGUGUCUGUGUCACGUCCUGACCUUAGUUCCUUUUUUAUGUCUCUAUUUUAGUUUGGUCAGGGCGUGAGUUGGGGUGGGCAUUCUAUGUGUUAUAGUUCUAUGUUUGGCCUGGUAUGGUUCCCAAUCAGAGGCUGCUGUCAAUCGUUGUCUCUGAUUGAGAACCAUACUUAGGCAGCCUGUUUUCCCACUAUGGUUUGUGGGUAGUUGUUUUCUGUGUCUGUUUCACCGUACAGAACUGUUUCAAUUUUCAUUGGUUCACUUUGGUUAUUUUGUAUUCAGUGUUCAGUUAUAUUUCAUUAAAAUGGACACUUACGAUGCUGCAUUUUGGUCCGAUCUUUCAUUCUCCUCAUCAGAUGAAGAAGAUUGUUACAGUCUGUCUGUGUGUCUCUAUUUUGUGUGUGAGAGGGCAUGUGUGCACGUCUGUUAGAAGUUCCUCUGUGUUGAUGCCAUUCUCAUUUCCUUUAUGGAAAUAGAAAAUGUAACUCCUUAACCCAUGGCGCUUGGAGAAAGAGAGGUUAAACAAGGUCACAUCCAUCCCAGAGACAAACCGUGAGGUCAUUUAAAGCUCUCGUAAUUAAAAUCAAAUACAACUUUUACGGUUCAUUCUUUGAAUUGUUGACCAAACACGAGUACUACAUGAUUGUCACUCAGAAACACAAUUUGGCUGUGGCUUUAUUAUGUCAUUACACAGGAAAAAUACAUUUAGGCACUCUUUUUAUAAACGGCCACAGACUUGCAAAGUUUAUCUAACCACAGCUUCCCACCAUCUGUUUCUUCUUAAUUCACAGAUUCGGAAGCUCUUUGAAUGGCUUCCAUAUACUGCUUAACAGUUUUUUUUAGGGUGCAAUUCAUUUUUGUUGAUAAUCUUGAAGUUCCUGAAGUGUUAUGAGUGUUAUCAGCUACCUGAAUUUGGGAC
rnacentral:lncRNA from 1 species